rnacentral:lncRNA from 1 species
ACAUAGUCCCAACAAGUACUGGUGCAGCCAAGGCUGUGUCUCUAGUGUUACCCCAACUGAAGGGCAAGCUCAAUGGUAUUGCUCUUCGAGUGCCUACACCUAACGUAUCCGUCGUUGACCUUGUUGUGAAUGUCGAGAAGAAAGGACUUUCAGCCGAAGAUGUCAAUGCUGCCUUUAGAAAGGCAGCUGAUGGACCAUUGAAGGGCAUUUUAGCCGUGUGUGACUCACCUCUCGUGUCAGUAGACUUCCGGUGCUCUGAUGUUUCUUCCACCAUCGAUUCAUCGUUGUCAAUGGU